GACAAUGCUCAGAACCAUGUCCCUGUGGAAUCCCAGUGGGCUACUCUGAGAGGCGUGAAGGCAAGUCUCUUAAUUCAGGAUCAUCACUGACUGAUAACUUUCAUUCAGAAAAUUGGCAAACAUGGGACUCUAUCAGUGAACUCUGCUCAUUUGCCACGUUCCUCAUCUGGAGAAUGUUCUGUGCUUCUCAGGGACUUGACUCAGAGGCUACAUGACAGUCAUCUUCAUACCACUCUGAAGGGUACCUCGACUGCUGUGUGAUGAAGGCACAAGGCAAGGCGUGAAUGCAGACAUGUCUUCGCUGUGCUCUGUGGACGGUGUGCCUCCCAGUUUCCUCCUUUAUGACCAAC